UACAGAGGGGGCAAGCGUUAUUCGGAAUUAUUGGGCGUAAAGGGCGCGUAGGCGGCUUUGCAAGUGGCGGGUGAAAGCCCUCGGCUUAACCGAGGAACUGCCUGUCAGACUGUGAGGCUUGAGACCGGGAGAGGUGAGUGGAAUUCCCAGUGUAGCGGUGAAAUGCGCAGAUAUCAGGAGGAACACCAAUGGCGAAGGCAGGUCUCUGGGCCACAACUGACGCUGAGGAGCGAAAGCGUGGGGAGCGAACAGG
rnacentral:rRNA from 1 species